rnacentral:pre_miRNA from 1 species
AGGGGGAGGCCAGAUCCUGGGCUGCGUCCCUGGCGCCCUGUGCUCGUGGGCCUGUGCUGUUGUAUUUGUGCUCUCAGUCGGGCAGCCCCCU